rnacentral:misc_RNA from 1 species
GGGAUGCGUUUUUCGGCCGUGCCUGGCCGGAAAUCUUUGGCCUUCCACUGGACAUGAAGAUGCUCACCAAAUCCGAUCUGCCCACUGACGGAUACGUCGGACAGAUUCCAGGAUUCGCUUAUGAGAGUUUUGGAAUCCCAGACGAUGUAGAGAAGUUUGCUCGUAUGUUUUGGCCCGAAGGAAAUCCCACCUUCUGUGAUACGGUCUCUAC